AUUGAACGCUGGCGGCAGGCCUAACACAUGCAAGUCGAGCGGAUGAAGGGAGCUUGCUUCUGGAUUCAGCGGCGGACGGGUGAGUAAUGCCUAGGAAUCUGCCUGGUAGUGGGGGAUAACGUCCGGAAACGGGCGCUAAUACUGCAUACGUCCUGAGGGAGAAAGUGGGGGAUCUUCGGACCUCACGCUAUCAGAUGAGCCUAGGUCGGAUUAGCUAGUUGGUGGGGUAAAGGCCUACCAAGGCGACGAUCCGUAACUGGUCUGAGAGGAUGAUCAGUCACACUGGAACUGAGACACGGUCCAGACUCCUACGGGAGGCAGCAGUGGGGAAUAUUGGACAAUGGGCGAAAGCCUGAUCCAGCCAUGCCGCGUGUGUGAAGAAGGUCUUCGGAUUGUAAAGCACUUUAAGUUGGGAGGAAGGGCAGUAAGUUAAUACCUUGCUGUUUUGACGUUACCAACAGAAUAAGCACCGGCUAACUUCGUG
rnacentral:rRNA from 1 species